rnacentral:lncRNA from 1 species
UUUCAAUCUGACCUGUGCUACCAGGGUAGUUGCAUUAUCAAUUUACUGGAUCUUUUCUGUACAAAUGUUACUAGAUUACCAAAGAUACUAAAAUUACUAGAGUUACGCACUGGGACACUAGAUUUAAUGAUUUAAUCUAGUAUAUCCUCUCAUAUUUCAGGGCUUUUGCCAGCUUCAGAUUGGAACAUUUAAGUGUAGAAACUCUUCCAGAUGUCUACAAAAAAAACGCGGGGAAAGCAAUCGAAACAUCUUUUGCUGUAAGUGUUGCAGAGUUUGUGCAUGUUCCAGGGAAAUGCUGGUUAAAUGUACUCGAGUCCCUGCCAGCAAACUGCGCAGACGCAGCUGUCGAACUGUUUACCAAGUGGUUAGGUGAUGAAAUUGCAACGUUCCACAGCGGAAUAUACUCCAAGGUUCUAGAUGAGCCCUCCAUGUAUACAUUCCUACAAGAGAGGAGCUUAUGCCGCACUUUCGUGGAUUACAUACGGAAACACUCCUCAUCGCCAACGGCAGAAACUACCAGACUCUCCGUAUCUCUCUGCCUGCGGAUUCUGUCCAGCGAUCUUCCAAAACCGUUACCUCCGUUAAAGUGGGCCUUUUUAUCUAACUACAUGAAUGAGGGAUCAGUUGAGCUGAAAAUGUAUGCAACUAAGCUUGUUAUCAAACAGUCUAUGCAUAAAUCUUCUUCUGCGAAUAAUGUGCUGGAGGCCAAGUUGUCAAACUUGGAGUUCUCUGAAGAGACGGAAAUAGAAAUACUCAACAUUUUUCAGUCUCUGAAAGGCGUAAUGAAGAGUGUCCACCCUACAACUUGUCAAGGAUUCUUAUCGAUGAGUCUGCAGUAUACCAAAGCAAAAUAAGGAGCGAUG